rnacentral:lncRNA from 10 species
ACCUCUUUAUGUACUGCCCUAUGGAGAGGCACACAUGUCAAGAAACUGAGGGAGUGCCUUCCAGUCAACAGCCAGCCAGGAACUAAGGUGCUCAGUACAGCAGCCUCCACAAAGGACUGAACAAUGCCAACAGCUAUUUGACUGUGCUUGGAAGAUCUCCGUUUAGUUAACCCUUCAGAUGAGACCGCAGCCCUGGCCAGCAAACAAAUUGCAGCCUAUGGAAAGACCUUAAGGCAGAAGCACCCAACUGAACCACCCGAGGGCUCUGACUUACAGAAACUGUGAGCAUAUAGUGAAAUGGCCUCUACCUUAUUUUGAAUGGAUUUCUGGGAUAAAGUUCUUCAGUGAUAACAUGUUUGAACACAAAUCAGAGCGAACGACGUGAAAAGAGUUCUGUUUCUCCUGGAAGGAUGCCACUUGUUUCUACUCCAGGGGAAAUGUCUUCCAAGCUCUUUACCAAAUCUGCAAGCUGAACCAACUCAACUGUGGCUGCCUUGCCCACCUGAAGACCUCAGGAUCCACCAGCAGCCCAAGACACCUCGGAAGCUGUUUCAAGGACAAGCGUCGCCUGCACACGUCAGCACAAAUGGGAACAUGAUGAGUGAUGCUGCCUGGAGUUAAAGGAGGCCAGGAGCACCAGAAGCUGGAGGAGGCCGGGGUGGAUUCUCGCCUGGAGGCUUCAGUGGGAGCACGAGCUCCCGACACUUCGGUUCCAUCUCUUGUUUAAAGGCACCCAGUUUCUCAUCAUUUGUUACAGCACCAUGGAAAACCCACACACAAGUGAAGCCCCGACCCACCUCCCAAGUGCCCAUCUGAGCACCCCUCGUGGACUCUGAGCAGGGGGUUGCCAUCACCAACUCCAAGUCUUGCAGCCCCUCUUCCCUUCAGUCUGGCUGCCACCUUCUUCAUUGCCCUGGAAAAAAAUAAUGAAGUUUCACCAUUUAAAGGGUUUCAGUGCAGCUUGCUAUGGGAACACUGGAGAGUAACACAAAUGGCCAAUUGUCCUAAUAGCCACCAUGGAUUGGAUGGAUGCUAACAACAGGCUCACAGUUCUCCUUCUGUUGCCUCCUUUUAUCCACAUGAGAAUCAAACAAGUAGGUGCUGCUGGUAUUACUGUAUUUUUCUCAUUUUAAAGAUCAGGAUGGGGAGGGUUGAGGAGGUUAAGGAAGUUGUUAGAAGUUACACUGAAGUUAAGAAAGGAAAAAGGACUUAGAAACUUAUUCUUCCAACUUUAGAACCACGGUCAGUGACCAAGGCCCUGCUUAGAACUUUCUGAAGGUUGCAGCUGGCCUUCUACCUGGAGUUUUGACUUCCUUUCCGAGAAAGGAACUUGAAUGGCAAUCACAAGAAAGUUGAGAACUUCUCUUUCAUAUUUUAAGCAUUCAUUUUUUUUUAUAUUUAUUUUAAUUUACAAAUACUAAUUGUAUAUAUGUAUAAGGUAAGAUAUGAUAGUUUGAUAUGGCUACCUUGUAAUAAAAUGAGCCUCAUUACCAA